UUUACUGUUUUGUUGUCCACGGCUCUUUUUCUGUUGUACUACUGUGAAAAACAGAUGAGCAGUGCAAUAUUAAAAGGGCAUUGGCUGACAGAAAAGCGACCCCCCCUUUCCUAAACUCCCCU
rnacentral:miRNA from 1 species